CACGUAGACGGCUUUGUAAGUCGGAUGUGAAAUCCCCGGGCUCAACCUGGGAACUGCAUUUCGAAACUGCAUGGCUAGGAUGUGGAAGAGGGAAGCGGAAUUCCAGGUGUAGCGGUGAAAUGCGUAGAUAUCUGGAGGAACAUCAGUGGCGAAAGCGGCUUCCUGGUCUAACAUCGACGUUCAGGUGCGAAAGCGUGGGGAGCAAACAGGAUUAGAUACCCUGGUAGUCCACGCCAUAAACGAUGAGAACUAGAUGUCGGGAGGGUCAGCCUCUCGGUGUCGCAGCUAACGCGUUAAGUUCUCCGCCUGGGGAGUACGGCCGCAAGGCUGAA
rnacentral:rRNA from 1 species